rnacentral:rRNA from 1 species
UUUGAUCCUGGCUCAGGAUGAACGCUAGCGGCAGGCUUAACACAUGCAAGUCGAGGGGUAACAGGUUUUAGUUUACUAGAAUGCUGACGACCGGCGCACGGGUGAGUAACGCGUAUACAAUUUACCUUUUACAGGAGAAUAGCCCAGAGAAAUUUGGAUUAAUGCUCCAUGGUAUUAUUUUAUGGCAUCAUAGAAUAAUUAAAGUUCCGACGGUAAGAGAUGAGUAUGUGUCCUAUUAGCUAGAUGGUAAGGUAACGGCUUACCAUGGCGACGAUAGGUAGGGGUCCUGAGAGGGAGAUCCCCCACACUGGUACUGAGACACGGACCAGACUCCUACGGGAGGCAGCAGUGAGGAAUAUUGGGCAAUGGAGGCAACUCUGACCCAGCCAUGCCGCGUGCAGGAAGACUGCCCUAUGGGUUGUAAACUGCUUUUAUACAGGAAGAAACCACUCUACGUGUAGAGUGCUGACGGUACUGUACGAAUAAGGACCGGCUAACUCCGUGCCAGCAGCCGCGGUAAUA